GAAAUGCGAUAAGUAGUGUGAAUUGCAGAAUUCAGUGAAUCAUCGAAUCUUUGAACGCACAUUGCGCCCUUUGGUAUUCCAAAGGGCAUGCCUGUUCGAGCGUCAUUUGUACCCUCAAGCUUUGCUUGGUGUUGGGCGUCUUGUCUCUAGCUUUGCUGGAGACUCGCCUUAAAGUAAUUGGCAGCCGGCCUACUGGUUUCGGAGCGCAGCACAAGUCGCACUCUCUAUCAGUAAAGGUCUAGCAUCCAUUAAGCCUUUUUUCAACUUUUGACCUCGGAUCAGGUAGGGAUACCCGCUGAACUUAAGC
rnacentral:misc_RNA from 1 species